CGCAAUCUCAUGCCGCUACCACCUAGGGAACCCAAACGCCAAUAGCCAGGGAGAGAAACUGCCAGCCUAUCACCCACCGGUAUCCUGUCGACCCCCAGCGCCAACAGGAGCCCUGACCCGAGAGGAGGGACUGCUACUCCUCCGUCAUUCCUCAGCCUGGACGUCCAGCUAGCACCGACACCCACCGUCCAAUGCUCAGGACACUACUCAGGGAGGAGAGCGGGGUGCCUAUUCCGUCCCCGACAUCCAGCGCUAACCAUCAUCGCUGGCCAGUCGCUGCCCACCAUAGCCAGGCCUCCAUGGGCAGGUCCCGGGAAACACACAUUCGACCCCACCUUCAAGAAAGGCGCUGCCCUCACCUUCGCUCGCACAGGCAAACCACCUGCAAGGGUCCAAUGAACACGAAGCCUCACCCUCCGGCAAACACUACCCUACACGGGGAGCCCAACGGGAAAUCCGUUCCAGCCCCUAAAUGUAGCUCUGACGCUAGGCGAUGGCCCCUCCCUCCCGAUUCUGUCAAGGCGGCAAGGCUCCGGUCCGAGGGAAAACCACGGCACAUCCGAGCUUCACAAAAGUCACUGCCCUCACCUUACCUCUCACGCCCAAAUUGUCUGCUGUGUGAAUUCCUGCCGUGUCGUGCUCCCCUGUCCUAA
rnacentral:lncRNA from 1 species